AGCGUAGGCGGGAAAUUAAGUUAAGUGUGAAAGCCUUGGGCUUAACCCAAGAAAUGCACUUAAUACUGGUUUUCUAGAGUGUAGGAGAGGUAAGUGGAAUUCCUAGUGUAGCGGUAAAAUGCGUGGAUAUUAGGAGGAACACCAGAGGCGAAGGCGAAUUGCUGAACUGUAACUGACACUGAAGCACGAAAGCGUGGGGAGCAAACA
rnacentral:rRNA from 1 species